UACGUCCCUGCCCUUUGUACACACCGCCCGUCGCUACUACCGAUUGAAUGGCUCGGUGAGGCCUUCGGACUGGCCCAGGGAGGUCGGCAACGACCACCCAGGGCCGGAAAGUUGGUCAAACCCGGUCAUUUAGAGGAAGUAAAAGUCGUAACAAGGUCUCCGUAGGUGAACCUGCGGAGGGAUCAUUACAAGACAACGCCCGGGCUUCGGCCUGAUUUUGUUCAUAACCCUUUGUUGUCCGACUCUGUUGCCUCCGGGGCGACCCUGCCUUCGGGCGGGGGCUCCGGGUGGACACUUCAAACUCUUGCGUAACUUUGCAGUCUGAGUAAACUUAAUUAAUAAAUUAAAACUUUUAACAACGGAUCUCUUGGUUCUGGCAUCGAUGAAGAACGCAGCGAAAUGCGAUAAGUAAUGUGAAUUGCAGAAUUCAGUGAAUCAUCGAAUCUUUGAACGCACAUUGCGCCCCCUGGUAUUCCGGGGGGCAUGCCUGUUCGAGCGUCAUUUCACCACUCAAGCCUCGCUUGGUAUUGGGCAACGCGGUCCGCCGCGUACCUCAAAUCGUCCGGCUGGGUCUUCUGUCCCCUAAGCGUUGUGGAAACUAUUCGCUAAAGGGUGUUCGGGAGGCUACGCCGUAAAACAACCCCAUUUCUAAGGUUGACCUCGGAUCAGGUAGGGAUACCCGCUGAACUUAAGCAUAUCAAUAAGCGGAGGAAAAGAAACCAACAGGGAUUGCUCUAGUAACGGCGAGUGAAGCAGCAAUAGCUCAAAUUUGAAAUCUGGCGUCUUCGACGUCCGAGUUGUAAUUUGUAGAGGAUGCUUCUGAGUGGCCACCGACCUAAGUUCCUUGGAACAGGACGUCA
rnacentral:rRNA from 1 species